CAGGGAACAGAAUAGGAAAUCUGGGGAAAAUGUCCUCAGAAAGACAGAGAAAGUAACGUAACAGCUGAGAGAGGAAAAGCAAUGCUAAAACAAGCCUCAAAAAAAGAAAUGGGGAGAAAGUUAAAAGAUCCAGAAGAAAGAAACAGUGAACAAUUUGAACUUAAAGGAGCUGAAUCCACGAGUCCCUACGGGUGACCACUGCCAGGCCCACAGUAUGUUUGAGUAAGAGAUUGAUCAUUUCUUCCUGAGAUUGUUCCAGAGAGGGUUUUCUGCAAGUUUUGUCUUUGAAAGCCUCAUCACUCCCCAUCUAUUGUGGUACUUGCGUGCUUGCUGUGUGUGAUGAGAGCAAGGGAGAUUUCCACAUUUGGAACGGCUCCUGAGUGUCUUGACACAUCUUGCUGAGCUCUCCCGAGGAUCAGUGGAACAGACAGCUGCCUUCUUCAUCCUCUCUCGUGCUGAUACUUAAGCAGUUGCCAACUUUCAUCCAAAGUCAAAGGCAGGCGAGGGGCAGAUCACUGAUGGCUCUUCAUACAAUGAGAAACACCUAAUAAAAGAAUGUCUAUAAAUGACUAUCCUUUCCUAGGAUUUUACACAAUGUUUAGUACAAUAGUUGGUAACAUGUGAAAGCAACACACUUAAAAAAGAAAGCACAUAGUUUUAUAUCAUCGACCUUUUUUGCUGUAAUACAGGUUUUUGUAGCGAUUUGGUUGAAGAAAGCCAUGUAUCUGCUUCUUACCCUGAAACAAACAAAAAUAAAUGGACAGAAGAGUUG